GGUGCUUGCAUCAUGAUUUACAUUUGAGUGAGUGGCGAACUGGUGAGUAACACGUGGGAAACCUGCCCAGAAGCGGGGGAUAACACCUGGAAACAGAUGCUAAUACCGCAUAACAACUUGGACCGCAUGGUCCGAGUUUGAAAGAUGGCUUCGGCUAUCACUUUUGGAUGGUCCCGCGGCGUAUUAGCUAGAUGGUGAGGUAACGGCUCACCAUGGCAAUGAUACGUAGCCGACCUGAGAGGGUAAUCGGCCACAUUGGGACUGAGACACGGCCCAAACUCCUACGGGAGGCAGCAGUAGGGAAUCUUCCACAAUGGACGAAAGUCUGAUGGAGCAACGCCGCGUGAGUGAAGAAGGGUUUCGGCUCGUAAAACUCUGUUGUUAAAGAAGAACAUAUCUGAGAGUAACUGUUCAGGUAUUGACGGUAUUUAACCAGAAAGCCACGGCUAACUACGUGCCAGCAGCCGCGGUAAUACGUAGGUGGCAAGCGUUGUCCGGAUUUAUUGGGCGUAAAGCGAGCGCAGGCGGUUUUUUAAGUCUGAUGUGAAAGCCUUCGGCUCAACCGAAGAAGUGCAUCGGAAACUGGGAAACUUGAGUGCAGAAGAGGACAGUGGAACUCCAUGUGUAGCGGUGAAAUGCGUAGAUAUAUGGAAGAACACCAGUGGCGAAGGCGGCUGUCUGGUCUGUAACUGACGCUGAGGCUCGAAAGUAUGGGUAGCAAACAGGAUUAGAUACCCUGGUAGUCCAUACCGUAAACGAUGAAUGCUAAGUGUUGGAAGGGUUUCCGCCCUUCAGUGCUGCAGCUAACGCAUUAAGCAUUCCGCCUGGGGAGUACGGCCGCAAGGCUGAAACUCAAAGGAAUUGACGGGGGCCCGCACAAGCGGUGGAGCAUGUGGUUUAAUUCGAAGCUACGCGAAGAACCUUACCAGGUCUUGACAUACUAUGCAAAUCUAAGAGAUUAGACGUUCCCUUCGGGGACAUGGAUACAGGUGGUUGCAUGGUUGUCGUCAGCUCUUGUCCUGAAAAUUUUGGGUUAAAUCCCGGCACCA
rnacentral:rRNA from 1 species